rnacentral:rRNA from 1 species
CCUACGGGUGGCUGCAGUGGGGAAUAUUGGACAAUGGGGGGAACCCUGAUCCAGCCAUGCCGCGUGUGUGAAGAAGGCCCUCGGGUUAUAAAGCACUUUCAGUGAGGAAGAACGCCUGGUGGUUAAUACCCAUCAGGAAAGACAUCACUCACAGAAGAAGCACCGGCUAACUCCGUGCCAGCAGCCGCGGUAAUACGGAGGGUGCGAGCGUUAAUCGGAAUUACUGGGCGUAAAGCGCGCGUAGGUGGCUUGAUAAGCCGGUUGUGAAAGCCCCGGGCUCAACCUGGGAACGGCAUCCGGAACUGUCAAGCUAGAGUGCAGGAGAGGAAGGUAGAAUUCCCGGUGUAGCGGUGAAAUGCGUAGAGAUCGGGAGGAAUACCAGUGGCGAAGGCGGCCUUCUGGACUGACACUGACACUGAGGUGCGAAAGCGUGGGUAGCAAACAGGAUUAGAUACCCCAGUAGUC